AGGACGAACGCUGGCGGCGUGCUUAACACAUGCAAGUGGAGCGACGAACCGGGGCUUGCCCCGGGCAGAGCCGCGAACGGGUGAGUAACACGCGGGUAACCCACCCCGAUGACCGGGACAACCCGAGGAAACUCGGGGCUAAUACCGGAUGUGCUCCUUGACCUUGAGGUCAAGGCGUAAAGAUAGCUUCGGCCUUCGCAUCGGGACGGCCCGCGGCCCAUUAGCUUGUUGGUGGGGUAAAGCCUACCAAGGCGACGAUGGGUAGCUGGUCUGAGAGGACGAUCAGCCACACUGGGACCGAGACACGGCCCAGACUCCUACGGGAGGCAGCAGUGGGAAUCUGCGCAAUGCGCGAAAGCGUGACGCAGCAACGCCGCGUGGGGGAAGACGGCCUUCGGGUUGUAAACCCCUUUCAGUUGGACGAAGCUUCGCCGGUGAAUAGCCGGCUGGAGUGACGGUACUUCACAAGAAGCCCGCUAACUACGUGCCAGCAGCCGC
rnacentral:rRNA from 1 species